rnacentral:rRNA from 1 species
UAGGGCGGGACACGAGGAAUCCUGUCUGAAUCCGGGUCGACCACGAUCCAACCCUAAAUACUAAUACCAGAUCGAUAGUGCACAAGUACCGUGAGGGAAAGGUGAAAAGAACUGAGGUGAUCAGAGUGAAAUAGAACCUGAAACCAUUUGCUUACAAUCAUUCAGAGCACUAUGUAGCAAUACAGUGUGAUGGACUGCCUUUUGCAUAAUGAGCCUGCGAGUUGUGGUGUCUGGCAAGGUUAAGCAAACGCGAAGCCGUAGCGAAAGCGAGUCUGAAUAGGGCGCUUAGUCAGAUGCUGCAGACCCGAAACGAAGUGAUCUAUCCAUGAGCAAGUUGAAGCUAGUGUAAGAACUAGUGGAGGACUGAACCCAUAGGCGUUGAAAAGCCCCGGGAUGACUUGUGGAUAGGGGUGAAAGGCCAAUCAAACUUCGUGAUAGCUGGUUCUCUCCGAAAUAUAUUUAGGUAUAGCGUUGUGUCGUAAUAUAAGGGGGUAGAGCACUGAAUGGGCUAGGGCAUACACCAAUGUACCAAACCCUAUCAAACUCCGAAUACCUUAUAUGUAAUCACAGCAGUCAGGCGGCGAGUGAUAAAAUCCGUCGUCAAGAGGGAAACAACCCAGACUACCAGCUAAGGUCCCUAAAUCUUACUUAAGUGGAAAACGAUGUGAAGUUACUUAAACAACCAGGAGGUUGGCUUAGAAGCAGCCAUCCUUUAAAGAAAGCGUAAUAGCUCACUGGUCUAGUGAUUUUGCGCGGAAAAUAUAACGGGGCUAAAGUAAGUACCGAAGCUGUAGACUUGCACACAACUUAGAUUAUUUAAGUUUAGAAUAUGAGAAACUAAGUUAUGUUUAGUUAUAUUUUUACUGAUUUUUAUAGAGUAAAGAUAGAAAUAAAACUUAGUAAAAUCAGUAAAAAUAUUCUUAGGCUAAAGUUAAGUAGUUUAAGUUGUGUGCAAGUGGUAGGAGAGCGUUCUAUUUGCGUCGAAGGUAUACCGGUAAGGAGUGCUGGAGCGAAUAGAAGUGAGCAUGCAGGCAUGAGUAGCGAUAAUUAAUGUGAGAAUCAUUAACGCCGUAAACCCAAGGUUUCCUACGCGAUGCUCGUCAUCGUAGGGUUAGUCGGGUCCUAAGUCGAGUCCGAAAGGGGUAGACGAUGGCAAAUUGGUUAAUAUUCCAAUACCAACAUUAGUGUGCGAUGGAAGGACGCUUAGGGCUAAGGGGGCUAGCGGAUGGAAGUGCUAGUCUAAGGUCGUAGGAGGUUAUACAGGCAAAUCCGUAUAACAAUACUCCGAGAACUGAAAGGCUUUUUGAAGUCUUCGGAUGGAUAGAAGAACCCCUGAUGCCGUCGAGCCAAGAAAAGUUUCUAAGUUUAGCUAAUGUUGCCCGUACCGUAAACCGACACAGGUGGGUGGGAUGAGUAUUCUAAGGCGCGUGGAAGAACUCUCUUUAAGGAACUCUGCAAAAUAGCACCGUAUCUUC